rnacentral:rRNA from 1 species
GUGCCAGCAGCCGCGGUAAUACGUAGGGGCGUGCGUUGUCCGGAAUUAUUGGGCUGAAAGCGCGCGCAGGCGGUCUCUUAAGUCUGAUGUGAAAGCCCACGGCUCAACCGUGGAGGGUCAUUGGAAACUGGGGGACUUGAGGGCAGGAGAGGAGAGCGGAAUUCCACGUGUAGCGGUGAAAUGCGUAGAGAUGUGGAGGAACACCAGUGGCGAAGGCGGCUCUCUGGCCUGCUACCUGACGCUGAGGCGCGAAAGCGUGGGGAGCAAACAGGAUUAGAUACCCUGGUAGUCCACGCCGUAAACGAUGAGUGCUAAGUGUUAGAGGGGUCACACCCUUUAGUGCUGCAGCUAACGCGAUAAUGCACUCCGCCUGGGAGUACGGUCGCAAGCAUGAAACUCAAAGGAAUUGACGG